rnacentral:rRNA from 1 species
UUAGAGUUUGAUCCUGGCUCAGGAUGAACGCUAGCGGCAGGCUUAAUACAUGCAAGUCGAGGGGCAGCGAGAUCAGUGCUUGCACUGAUUGUCGGCGACCGGCGCACGGGUGCGUAACGCGUAUGCAAUCUACCCAUUACAGGGGGAUAACACUGAGAAAUCGGUACUAAUACCCCAUAACAUCCAGGGAGGCAUCUUCUUGGGUUGAAAACUCCGGUGGUAAUGGAUGGGCAUGCGUUGUAUUAGUUAGUUGGUGGGGUAACGGCUCACCAAGACAACGAUACAUAGGGGGACUGAGAGGUUAACCCCCCACAUUGGUACUGAGACACGGACCAAACUCCUACGGGAGGCAGCAGUGAGGAAUAUUGGUCAAUGGACGCAAGUCUGAACCAGCCAUGCCGCGUGCAGGAAGACGGCUCUAUGAGUUGUAAACUGCUUUUGUACGAGGGUAAACGCAGAUACGCGUAUCUGUCUGAAAGUAUCGUACGAAUAAGGAUCGGCUAACUCCGUGCCAGCAGCCGCGGUAAUACGGAGGAUUCAAGCGUUAUCCGGAUUUAUUGGGUUUAAAGGGUGCGUAGGCGGUCGGAUAAGUUAGAGGUGAAAUCCCGGGGCUCAACUUCGGAAUUGCCUCUGAUACUGUUCGGCUAGAGAGUAGUUGCGGUAGGCGGAAUGUAUGGUGUAGCGGUGAAAUGCUUAGAGAUCAUACAGAACACCGAUUGCGAAGGCAGCUUACCAAGCUACUUCUGACGUUGAGGCACGAAAGCGUGGGGAGCAAACAGGAUUAGAUACCCUGGUAGUCCACGCAGUAAACGAUGAUAACUCGUUGUCGGCGAUACAGUGUCGGUGACUAAGCGAAAGCGAUAAGUUAUCCACCUGGGGAGUACGUUCGCAAGAAUGAAACUCAAAGGAAUUGACGGGGGCCCGCACAAGCGGAGGAACACGUGGUUUAAUUCGAUGAUACGCGAGGAACCUUACCCGGGCUUGAAAGUUAGUGACGGAUCUUGAAAGAGGUCUUCCCUUCGGGGCACGAAACUAGGUGCUGCAUGGUUGUCGUCAGCUCGUGCCGUGAGGUGUCGGGUUAAGUCCCAUAACGAGCGCAACCCCUACCGUUAGUUGCCAGCAGGUCAAGCUGGGCACUCUGACGGGACUGCCGGUGUAAGCCGAGAGGAAGGUGGGGAUGACGUCAAAUCAGCACGGCCCUUACGUCCGGGGCUACACACGUGUUACAAUGGCAGGUACAGAGGGCAGCUACCCAGCGAUGGGAUGCGAAUCUCGAAAGCCUGUCUCAGUUCGGAUUGGAGGCUGAAACCCGCCUCCAUGAAGUUGGAUUCGCUAGUAAUCGCGCAUCAGCCAUGGCGCGGUGAAUACGUUCCCGGGCCUUGCACACACCGCCCGUCA